rnacentral:rRNA from 1 species
UCGGGAAUAUUGCGCAAUGGAGGAAACUCUGACGCAGUGACGCCGCGUAUAGGAAGAAGGUUUUCGGAUUGUAAACUAUUGUCGUUAGGGAAGAAAAAAUGACAGUACCUAAGGAGGAAGCUCCGGCUAACUACGUGCCAGCAGCCGCGGUAAUACGUAGGGAGCAAGCGUUAUCCGGAUUUAUUGGGUGUAAAGGGUGCGUAGACGGGCGAUCAAGUUAGUUGUGAAAUCCCUCGGCUCAACUGAGGAACUGCAACUAAAACUGGUUGUCUUGAGUGCAGGAGAGGUAAGUGGAAUUCCUAGUGUAGCGGUGAAAUGCGUAGAUAUUAGGAGGAACACCAGUGGCGAAGGCGACUUACUGGACUGUAACUGACGUUGAGGCACGAAAGUGUGGGGAGCAAACAGGAUUAGAUACCC